AGAGCGAACGCUGGCGGCAGGCCUAAUACAUGCAAGUCGAGCGGCCACUUCGGUGGCAGCGGCGGACGGGUGAGUAACGCGUGGGAAUGUGCCCUUUGGUACGGAACAACUGAGGGAAACUUCAGCUAAUACCGUAUGUGCCCUUCGGGGGAAAGAUUUAUUGCCAUUGGAGCAGCCCGCGUUGGAUUAGCUAGUUGGUGGGGUAAAGCCCACAAGGCGACGAUCCAUAGCUGGUCUGAGAGGAUGAUCAGCCGCACUGGGACUGAGACACGGCCCAGACUCCUACGGGAGGCAGCAGUAGGGAAUCUUGCGCAAUGGGCGAAAGCCUGACGCAGCCAUGCCGCGUGAAUGAUGAAGGUCUAGGAUUGUAAAAUUCUUUCACGGGAAGAUAAUGACGGUACCGGAGAAGAAGCCCGACUAACUCGUGCCAGCAGCCGC
rnacentral:rRNA from 1 species